UACAGAGGUGGCAAGCGUUGUUCGGAAUUACUGGGCGUAAAGGGCGCGUAGGCGGUCUUGUAAGUCUCGUGUGAAAUCCCUCGGCUUAACUGAGGAACUGCACGGGAUACUGCUUGACUUGAGUUCGGGAGAGGGAAGCGGAAUUCCGGGUGUAGCGGUGAAAUGCGUAGAUAUCCGGAGGAACACCGGUGGCGAAGGCGGCUUCCUGGACCGACACUGACGCUGAGGCGCGAAAGCUGGGGGAGCAAACGGG
rnacentral:rRNA from 1 species